rnacentral:rRNA from 1 species
GACGAACGCUGGCGGCGUGCUUAACACAUGCAAGUCGAACGGAAAGGCCCUGCUUUUGUGGGGUGCUCGAGUGGCGAACGGGUGAGUAACACGUGAGUAACCUGCCCUUGACUUUGGGAUAACUUCAGGAAACUGGGGCUAAUACCGGAUAGGAGCUCCUGCUGCAUGGUGGGGGUUGGAAAGUUUCGGCGGUUGGGGAUGGACUCGCGGCUUAUCAGCUUGUUGGUGGGGUAGUGGCUUACCAAGGCUUUGACGGGUAGCCGGCCUGAGAGGGUGACCGGCCACAAUGGGACUGCGAGACGGCCCAGACUCCUACGGGCGGCAGCAGUGGGGAAUAUUGCACAAUGGGCGGAAGCCUGAUGCAGCAACGCCGCGUGCGGGAUGACGGCUUUCGGGUUGUAAACCGCUUUCGCCUGUGCCGAAGCGUGAGUGACGGUAAUGGGUAAAGAAGCACCGGCUAACUACGUG